UAUUAAUUUAAUAUUUGAUUUUUUUAUCUAAUCUAAGUUUGGCCGGUUAACCGUAGUUAGCAGAUCCUUUAGGGUGCCUAAUCCUUUCCCUUUAGGAUAAAUAGAAUCCUUACCUAGAAUUUUAGGUUUUGUAGACCUUAAAAUGAAGUCAUUAUUUAUUUUAAUCACGUAGUUUGUAAUAGGUGUCCUAAUUCAUCGUAGAACUAAUUAGGUGGCGACUUCCUUAAAUUUAACUCCGAAGUUUUUCAAUAUGUUGUACACUAUUUUGACCCGUGUUAAAAUGGGUAUAACAAUUAUUUUUCCAUUCUCCUUUAAGAACAUAUAGUCCACCCUCUUGUCUACCAAUCCCCUUCACCUUGCCAUUGAAGAGGUCCUGAAAUACACAGAAAUCAGGAUAAAAGGACACAAAGCAUGACAGUUCCUUGGUUAUCUUAAACAACAAAUUUAGUCUAAAAUCUGGAAUAAAGAGGUCAUCUUUGAUCACAUCAUCUGUAAACAUAUAGGCUUCUCCAGUGUGGGAAAUUGUGACUUCAUCACUUAUUGGAAGGUGCAAUUUGUCCAAGUGUCUUGGAACCAGGCUGGUGCUAUCUUUGAACAAGUGUCUAUGGGCAGACACAUGAUGUGUAGCUCCUGAAUCUACAAUCCAACUGUCAGAACAAGCCUCAGUUAAAAAAACAAAUGAAUUCACAUCAUGACUGGAACUGGCAGCAUCACCUGGUCCUACUACCAUGCUUGCAGAAGACUUGCUACCAGUGCUAGUAUAGUUGUUACCCCUAUUAUGUGGUGAGAAAUUGUUACCACCAGCAUUAUGUGACCUGAAAUUUGGAGGAGUAUAACCUUGUUUUUGUUGCAGUUAUCUUCUUGUAUCCUAGUUUUAGUAGAACUCUAUUUUGUAUUUAUUCUUGUACUUAUCGGUUAGAUAGAUAUAUGUUGUAAUUCCACUUUAUAAAUACAAAAAUAUAGAAUGAGCAAGGCUCACACUUUAACCCUUCACUUUAUCUAUUUCGUCUUGGUAUCAAAGCCUUAAACGAUCCUUUCCAUGGCUUUAGAAAUUUACUCAUCUCAGACCACCACUACCUCUGCUCAAACUGCCAUAAUUCAAUCUUCUCUUGGCCUUCCAAAUCCCCCUCCAACAGUUUCCAAUAUCAAAGGUUUUGUUCCUAUUGAAUUGACAUACGUCAACUACCUUACUUUGAAGAAAGUUUUUCUCACCGACCUUAAAAGUCACAAUCUUCUUUCCUUAGUAGAUGGAACCUUACCAUGUCCACCACUAGAACAUGCUGAUUUCAGGCUAUGGAUUCAGUGUCAUCCUAUUGCAUUAAGUUGGAUUAAUGAAACCCUUUCUUCCGCUAUUCUUGACACACUUUUGAACUAUGAUUGUGAGACAUCAAAACAAGCUUGGGACACCUUAGCCUCCCUAUAUUUAGAUCAAGUCUCUUCCUCUAUAAUUCACCUCAAGUCUAAAUUCCAAAACUUAAAAAAAAGGGUCCCUUUCUAUGGAGGAUUAUCUUCAAAAACUUCACUCGAUUGCCUGCUCCCUCAGAGAAAUUGGUAAACCUGUAACUGAUGAUGAUCUUGUCACUGAAGCGCUUCAAGGAUUACCUUCAUCUUAUCGUACCUUUGUGUCUGGAUUAAAUGCUACUGGUGCACUUCCUUCCUUCAUUACAUUACGACCACUCCUUCUUACUGAAGAAGCUCACAUUAAUGCAAAUACUUUUGAAGAGUCAAAUUCUCAAACCGUUUUAUUGGUGGCAACUCAAGGAAAUAACACUUCUAAUUUAUCAUUAUCUGUUAAUGGAAAUCAGUCAUAUCAGUCAUCUGUUAAUGGAAAUCAAUUUGCAAAAGGAUACUACAAUUGACGAGGCUGUGGUAGAAAUAAUAAGGGUCAACACGGUAGAGGCCGAGCUUACCAGAACUCUUCAUGGUAUGGUUUCCAACAACAAUCUCGGCCUUCUUCCCCUGGUACUGGUAUUUUGGGUAAAUCCCCUUUCUCUCCCGUUAAGCAAUGUCAAAUUUGUUUUCACUAUAAUCACACUGUGUUGGAGUGUAGAAACAGGUUCAAUCAUUCGUUUGUGGCUAACAAUAUUCCUCAAUAAUUUGCUGCCAUGAAUUUGGAGGAGGUUCAACCAAUAGUUUGGUAUCCAGACUCUGGGGCAUCUGCACACAUGACUCCUGAUCCUUCUACUCUUAUUCUCACACUCCUUAUUCUGGUUCUUCUCAAGUUAUGGUUGGAGAUGGACAUGAAGACUGGAUCAUCAUUACUCCACUAUAAUAAUUCUGGGUCCCUCUAUCCUCUGCUUGUUGCUCCAUCCAGCUCUUCCAGCCUUGGUCUCUUUGCUAAAAUUCUGCCUACUUCACUUUGGCACCAGCAUCUAGGACAUCCUGGCCAAGAAUCUCUUAGCUCUUUAGUUGUUAGAAAAUUGAUAAGUAGUACUUCUUCUAUUAGCAAUAAUUCUUGUAAUGUUUGUCAUUUAGGCAAGCAAACUCCAA